CCUAUGGGUGGCAGCAGUGGGGAAUAUUGGACAAUGGGGGCAACCCUGAUCCAGCCAUGCCGCGUGUGUGAAGAAGGCCCUCGGGUUGUAAAGCACUUUCAGUGAGGAAGAACGCCUGGUGGUUAAUACCCAUCAGGAAAGACAUCACUCACAGAAGAAGCACCGGCUAACUCCGUGCCAGCAGCCGCGGUAAUACGGAGGGUGCGAGCGUUAAUCGGAAUUACUGGGCGUAAAGCGCGCGUAGGUGGCUUGAUAAGCCGGUUGUGAAAGCCCCGGGCUCAACCUGGGAACGGCAUCCGGAACUGUCAAGCUAGAGUGCAGGAGAGGAAGGUAGAAUUCCCGGUGUAGCGGUGAAAUGCGUAGAGAUCGGGAGGAAUACCAGUGGCGAAGGCGGCCUUCUGGACUGACACUGACACUGAGGUGCGAAAGCGUGGGUAGCAAACAGGAUUAGAUACCCGAGUAGUC
rnacentral:rRNA from 1 species